rnacentral:rRNA from 1 species
GCGGUAAUUCCAGCUCCAAUAGCGUAUAUUAAGUUGUUGCAGUUAAAAGCUCGUAGUUGAAUUUCGGGAUUGACGUGAUGGUCGUGCCUUAAGGGUAUGAACUGUCGCAGUUGAUUUCUCACCUUCUGGAGAAGCAUGAUGUUCUUAAUUGGGUGUCAUGUGGAACCAGGACCUUUACCUUAGAAAAAUUAGAGUGUUUAAAGCAGGCAUUUUGCUCGAAUACAUUAGCAUGGAAUAAUAGAAUAGGACGGCAUGGUUCUAAUUUUGUUGGUUUCUAGGAUCACCGUAAUGAUUAAUAGGGAUAGUUGGGGGCAUUAGUAUUCAAUUGUCAGAGGUGAAAUUCUUGGAUUUAUUGAAGACUAACUACUGCGAAAGCAUUUGCCAAGGAUGUUUUCAUUAAUCAAGAACGAAAGUUAGGGGGAUCGAAGACGAUCAGAUACCGUCGUAGUCUUAACCAUAAACUAUGCCGACUAGGAAUCAGACGAUGUUAAUUUUUUUAAUGACUCGUUUUGGCACCUUACG